rnacentral:rRNA from 1 species
UGUCCUAUCAGCUUGUUGGUGAGGUAACGGCUCACCAAGGCGACGACGGGUACCGGGGCUGAGAGGCUGAUCCGGCGCAUUGGGACUGAGACACUGCCCAGACUCCUACGGGAGGCUGCAGCGACGAAUAUUGCACAAUGGGCGCAAGCCUGAUGCAGCGACGCCGCGUGUGGGAGGAAGCCCCUCGGGGUGUAAACCACUGUCAGGGACCACCAAGCGACCCGGGCGAAUAGUCCGGGAAGUUGAGGAAUCCCAGAGGACGUCACGGCUAACUUCGUGCCAGCAGCCGCGGUAAGACGAAGGUGGCAAGCGUUGUUCGGAAUCACUGGGCUUAAAGAGCACGUAGGCGGAUUGUCAAGCACUUUGUGAAAUCCCUCGGCUUAACCGAGGAAUUGCUUGGUGAACUGGCAGUCUUGAGGCAGGUAGAGGCACACGGAACUCUUGGUGGAGCGGUGGAAUGCGUCGAUAUCACGAGGAACGCCAGAGACGUAACCGUUGUGCUGGGCCUGACCUGACGCUGAGGUGCGAAAGCCAGGGGAGCAAACGGGAUUAGAUACCCCGGUAGUCCUGGCCAUAAACGAUGUCCACUAGGCAUGAGGUGUUCUGACACAUUUCCGGCCGAAACAAAAGCGUUAAGUGGACCGCCUGGGGAGUACGGUCGCAAGGCUAAAACUCAAAGGAAUUGACGGGGGCUCACACAAGCGGUGGAGCAUGUUGCUUAAUUUGAUGCAACGCGAAGAACCUUAUCCUGGGCUUGACAUGUAGGAAUACCUCCCUGGAAACAGGGUUGGUUGCCCUUCGGGGUGAAGCCUACACAGGUGCUGCAUGGCUGUCGUCAGCUCGUGUCGUGAGAUGUUGGGUUAAGUCCCGUAACGAGCGAAACCCUUGUCGUUAGUUGCCAGCGAGUUAUGGCGGGGACUUUAACGAGACUUCCGGUGUUAAACCGGAGGAAGGUGGGGAUGACGUCAAGUCCUCAUGGCCUUUA